rnacentral:lncRNA from 1 species
CAACGAUACUUUGCGGGCAUUAGUAAGUAAUAUUUGGCACUAAAACAAAUGCCUUCAUGUCCAUAUCGUAGUCCAAAGAGCAUCCGCGUGGCAAUGGGUGGGUUCAUCCUCCUGGUUGUAAUCACCGUCGACGUCCUCGUCCUCCCGUCGUCGUCCUACUCCAAUGUAAAUAAAUAGCAACACCAGAAAAUCACAAAGUAAUGACAUUUUUUGCAAGGUACAGAGAAAUGACUGAUACGAUCAAAUAUCAAUAAACAUCAGCAGAGUCAAGUAUGCAUGCCAAUGUCAUUAGCAAAGUACAGAGUAAUGACUGACAUAAUCAAAAUGUCAACAAACAUCAGCAGAGUCAAGUAUGCAUGCAAAUGAUAUUUUCAGGGUGAUCAGAUCAAAGAAAAUAGCCAUACAAAUACUGAAUAUUCUUUGUUGAUGAUUUUGUUUUAUUU